AGAGUUUGAUCAUGGCUCAGGACGAACGCUGGCGGCGUGCCUAACACAUGCAAGUCGAGCGAUGAAAUCCUUCGGGAUGGAUUAGCGGCGGACGGGUGACUAACACGUGGGUAACCCGCCUCAAAGAGGGGAAUAGCCUUCCGAAAGGAAGAUUAAUACCGCAUAAUAUGUUUUGGUCGCAUGAUCAGAACAUCGAAGGAGCAAUCCGCUUUGAGAUGGACCCGCGGCGCAUUAGCUAGUUGGUGAGGUAAUGGCUCACCAAGGCAACGAUCAGUAGCCGACCUGAGAGGGUGAUCGGCCACAUUGGAACUGAGACACGGUCCAAACUCCUACGGGAGGCAGCAGUGGGGAAUAUUGCACAAUGGGCGAAACCCUGAUGCAGCAACGCCGCGUGAGUGAUGAAGGUCUUCGGAUUGUAAAACUCUGUCUUUGGGGACGAUAAUGACGGUACUUGAGGAGGAAGCCCCGGCUAACUACGUGCCAGCAGCCGCGGUAAUACGUAGGGGGCUAGCGUUAUCCGGAAUUACUGGGCGUAAAGGGUGCGUAGGUGGUUUCUUAAGUCAGAGGUGAAAGGCUACGGCUCAACCGUAGUAAGCCUUUGAAACUGAGAAACUUGAGUGCAGGAGAGGAGAGUAGAAUUCCUAGUGUAGCGGUGAAUGCGUAGAUAUUAGGAGGAAUACCAGUUGCGAAGGCGGCUCUCUGGACUGUAACUGACACUGAGGCACGAAAGCGUGGGGAGCAAACAGGAUUAGAUACCCUGGUAGUCCACGCCGUAAACGAUGAGUACUAGGUGUCGGGGGUUACCCCCCUCGGUGCCGCAGCUAACGCAUUAAGUACUCCGCCUGGGAAGUACGCUCGCAAGAGUGAAACUCAAAGGAAUUGA
rnacentral:rRNA from 1 species